CGGUCCCGUAGAGGGUAAGGCGAG
rnacentral:piRNA from 1 species